AUCUUUGCACAAAAUUAAGGUUGCGUUUAUUUCAAACGCAUUAAAAGGGAAUCAAGUUAUAUUAAAAUCUUGAGCUGUACCCGCAACUGUAAGCUUAGUUCUUAAAUGAAUGCUUGUUGUUAACUACAAACCACUGCUCGCCCCCAAGCGAAUGGGAAGGUAAACAACAAGACGCAAGCCAGGAGACCUGCCUUUUUAUAACAAAUAUC
rnacentral:ncRNA from 2 species